rnacentral:rRNA from 1 species
AGUGAACGCUGGCGGUAGGCCUAACACAUGCAAGUCGAACGGCAGCACAGUAAGAGCUUGCUCUUACGGGUGGCGAGUGGCGGACGGGUGAGGCAUACAUCGGAAUCUACUUUUUCGUGGGGGAUAACGUAGGGAAACUUACGCUAAUACCGCAUACGACCUACGGGUGCAAGCAGGGGAUCUUCGGACCUUGCGCGAUUGAAUGAGCCGAUGUCGGAUUAGCUAGUUGGCGGGGUAAAGGCCCACCAAGGCGACGCUCCGUAGCUGGUCUGAGAGGAUGAUCAGCCACACUGGAACUGAGACACGGUCCAGACUCCUACGGGAGGCAGCAGUGGGGAAUAUUGGACAAUGGGCGCAAGCCUGAUCCAGCCAUCCCGCGUGGGUGAAGAAGGCCUUCGGGUUGUAAAGCCCUUUUGUUGGGAAAGAAAAGCAGCAGGUUAAUACCCCGCUGUUCUGACGGUGCCCAAAGAAUAAGCACCGGCUAACUUCGUG